CCAGCCUUGCAAACACACCUGUGAGGGAUCAUCUAGAGUCUCAGCCUUCUGGGGAUGCCUGUAAGGAAUUCUAUUGAUUAGGCUACUGGAAGUGAAAAGAUUGCUCUAAAUGGAUGAAGUGCUGAAGAGAUGGCUCAGCAGUUGACAGUACCUACUGCUCCUUCAGAGGACCUCAGAGUGACAUUCCUAGCACCCCAGGAGGCUCACAACCACAGGUUAACUCCAGCUCCAGCGAAUCCAAUGUCCUCCUCUGGUCUCUGUGGAUACCUGCACCCCAUCUCCCUCCAAAUACACAUAAUUAAAAAUAAAAUAAAAAGCUUUUUAAAAUAAAA